rnacentral:rRNA from 1 species
GACGAACGCUGGCGACGUGCUUAACACAUGCAAGUCGUACGGUAAGGCCCUUUCGGGGGUACACGAGUGGCGAACGGGUGAGUAACACGUGAGUAACCUGCCCACAACUUUGGGAUAACGCUAGGAAACUGGUGCUAAUACUGGAUAUGUGCUCCUGCUGCAUGGUGGGGGUUGGAAAGCUCCGGCGGUUGUGGAUGGACUCGCGGCCUAUCAGCUUGUUGGUGGGGUAGUGGCCUACCAAGGCGGCGACGGGUAGCCGGCCUGAGAGGGUGACCGGCCACAUUGGGACUGAGAUACGGCCCAGACUCCUACGGGAGGCAGCAGUGGGGAAUAUUGCACAAUGGGCGCAAGCCUGAUGCAGCAACGCCGCGUGCGGGAUGACGGCCUUCGGGUUGUAAACCGCUUUCAGCAGGGACGAAGCUUUUUGUGACGGUACCUGCAGAAGAAGCACCGGCUAACUACGUG